rnacentral:lncRNA from 1 species
GGCCCAGAUAUAUAUCUCUUUAUAAAUCUCCUCUUUGAGAUAAAAUAAAUUGACUUGUAUGUAAAAUUUUGUAACUUUGCAUAAUCCAAUCUGUCUAAUGCAACACAUUUAACUCUACUUGAUCUGCCUUAUCCUGAGAUGCUAUCCAUUCUGCUCUGUUUCGGGGCAAGUAUAGAUUGGGUAUAGAUAACGAUCUAUUUGAUUUAUAUUCAAAAAGUUUUCAUCAUUGGUUAUUGUUUCAAAAUAUGCUUCAAAGAUUAUAUGGUAAAAAAAAAUCCCUAACUGAUAUUCUGGUGGGCAUCUAAGGAUUUUUGUUCUUUUCUUUUGGAUUGCGAUUGCCUAAAAAGGUAAAAGCAACGUCAAGAAGC